CGAAAACUUUGCAAUGCGGGAAACCGUGACAAGGGAACUCUGAGUGCCCGUAAAAUCGGGCUGUCCAUCAGUUUAAACAACUGGUGAAGAAAGGGCCGGGCAAGACCGGUGCCAGCCGCCGCGGUAAUACCGGCGGCUCGAGUGGUGGCCACUAUUACUGGGCUUAAAGCGUUCGUAGCUGGUCUGUUAAGUCCCUGGGGAAAUCUUCCGGCUUAACCGGAAGGCGUCUCAGAGAUACUGGCAGACUAGGGACCGGAAGAGGUGAGAGGUACUCCAGGGGUAGGAGUGAAAUCCUGUAAUCCUUGGGGGACCACCUGUGGCGAAGGCGUCUCGCCAGAACGGCUCCGACAGUGAGGGACGAAAGCUGGGGGAGCAAACCGGAUUAGAUACCCGGGUAGUCCCAGCUGUAAACGAUGCGCGUUAGGUGUAUCAGUGACCACGAGUUACUGAGGUGCCGAAGAGAAAUCGUGAAACGCGCCGCCUGGGAAGUACGGUCGCAAGGCUGAAACU
rnacentral:rRNA from 1 species